GACGUAGGGCGCGAGCGUUGUCCGGAAUUAUUGGGCGUAAAGCGUGCGCAGGCGGUCUUUUAAGUCAGAUGUGAAAUCCCCCGGGCUUAACCUGGGAACUGCGUUUGAAACUGGAAGGCUAGAGUGUGGCAGAGGGGGGUGGAAUUCCACGUGUAGCAGUGAAAUGCGUAGAUAUGUGGAGGAACACCGAUGGCGAAGGCAGCCCCCUGGGCUAACACUGACGCCUCAUGCACGAAAGCGUGGGGAGCAAACAGG
rnacentral:rRNA from 1 species